rnacentral:misc_RNA from 1 species
AUACUUCUGCCCAACUUCAUAAUGGAGAAUUUGAAGUCCUUCUCCAUGCUCUGUAGGAAUGAAUGUAAAAUCUGCUAUUCUUUUCUCUAUGUUACUGAUGAUUUUGUCCUGCCCUCUAUUCAGAAACAUCCCAGAACUGGUGCGCACCCUGCUAUCCACACUUUUGCCACUUUUGCUAUCAACCACAGUUGAUUUCUCCAUGUGAGGUUUUGCAAGACUAAUCAAGUACAAGCAUUCUUCCUUGGACAAGAAAUUG